AAACAGGACGCAGGACUAUUGCUACAUAAAUCAGCAUCAGUACACCUUGACGAGCAAAAACAGGCCAUUUGUCACCAGUUGUAGCUGCCCGCGUGUGUACCACUUUUGUAAACGUUAUCAUUUUCUGGGACCUUUACCGUCCAUAAACUCCGAUGAAUCUGGUCCCCUUCGUUUAUCAUUAUUGAUAAUAAAGAGAGCAAUCCUCGCCCUCCACGGUCCAAUCCUCCCAGACAAUGCAAUUGACGUUGGAGCAGAGUGAGGUAUAAUCGGGUGGGAGGGUGUGACUGAGAGACACGAGAUUUUCAGGUGGCAGAGAAGGAAGGUUUCAGACGCUCGCCAGCGUUGCACCACCAAAACUUGCAAAAGUUCUGAUGGUGCCACGCUGUGUGCGUCUAAAAUCUUUUAACUCCUUGGCUUUCUUCAUAUAAUCAAUGCCAAUUGAAGGGAUUCAAGAAUCAAAACCUGGAUUGGAAGAAAAUUGGUGGAGAGCCGAUACGCGCGUUAGCUUUUGCAUUUUCUUUUUCUUUUUUAAGAAAUUUAAAUCCCCGCCAUGUAAUCUUUAUAAUCGCGCGAUGGUUUCUUGUUUUGUUCAAUUACUUGCUUCCUUCUUUUGAACAUUCUCUUUGCAUUGUUCUUCUUCUUAUUUCAUGCAUUUCCAGUUGAAGGACACUGGAGUGAAGCCAAUAACUAUAGUACUGUUUAUCAUUGCUCUUUGUUUUUUCUCCUUCCAAACUUCAUCCUAAUUAAUUCUCCAGCUUAUUUAAAUCUUGGUUAUGGAAAUUGGAAUAGUUAUAGCAUUGUUC
rnacentral:lncRNA from 1 species